rnacentral:rRNA from 1 species
CGUAGGUGGCAAGCGUUGUCCGGAUUUAUUGGGUUUAAAGGGUGCGUAGGCGGUCCUAUAAGUCAGUUGUGAAAUACGGCAGCUUAACUGUCGAGGUGCAAUUGAUACUGCAGGACUUGAGUACAGACGAGGUAGGCGGAAUUGACGGUGUAGCGGUGAAAUGCUUAGAUAUCGUCAAGAACACCGAUAGCGAAGGCAGCUUACCAGACUGUAACUGACGCUGAUGCACGAAAGUGCGGGGAUCAAACAGGAUUAGAUACCCUGGUAGUCCACACUGUAAACGAUGAUUACUCGAUGUUGGCGAUACACAGCCAGCGUCUUAGCAAAAGCGAUAAGUAAUCCACCUGGGGGAGUACGCCGGCAACGGUG